rnacentral:rRNA from 1 species
UAACUAGGAUUAGAUACCCUAUUAUUUUGAGUGUUAAUGUUUUUACCUGAGUAGUAUUAGUUGUGUUCUUGAAACUUAAAGAAUUUGGCGGUAUCCUACUCCGUUCAGAGGAAUCUGUCUCGUUAUCGAUAGUCCGCGUUGGACCUUACUUAGGGUUAAUUUUGGUUUGUAUACCGCCGUUUAUUGAUUACUUUUUAGAGUAUCAUGAAUUUUCUGGUUUCUUUAAUUUGAUUUAUUGCAGGUCAAGGUGCAGCUUUUUCUAAGUGUAAUGAUGGAUUACAGUGUUAUGUGUUGUUUGGAUUGUUUAUUUUAAUAUUGGCAUGAAAUUGGAUUUGGUUGUAAUGUUUUGUAGAUUGUUUUCAUGAUAGUUGGUUCUAGGAUAUGUACACAUCGCCCGUCGGCUCCUCAUUCCUCUUG